rnacentral:rRNA from 1 species
GAUGAACGCUGGCGGCGUGCCUAAUACAUGCAAGUCGAACGCUUCACUUCGGUGAAGAGUGGCGAACGGGUGAGUAAUACAUAAGUAACCUGGCAUCUACAGGGGGAUAACUGAUGGAAACGUCAGCUAAGACCGCAUAGGUGUAGAGAUCGCAUGAACUCUAUAUGAAAAGUGCUACGGGACUGGUAGAUGAUGGACUUAUGGCGCAUUAGCUAGUUGGUAGGGUAACGGCCUACCAAGGCGACGAUGCGUAGCCGACCUGAGAGGGUGACCGGCCACACUGGGACUGAGACACGGCCCAGACUCCUACGGGAGGCAGCAGUAGGGAAUUUUCGGCAAUGGGGGAAACCCUGACCGAGCAACGCCGCGUGAAGGAAGAAGUAAUUCGUUAUGUAAACUUCUGUCAUAGAGGAAGAACGGUGGAUAUAGGGAAUGAUAUCCAAGUGACGGUA